UACGUAGGGACCAAGCGUUGUUCGGAUUUACUGGGCGUAAAGGGCGCGUAGGCGGCAAUUCAAGUCAUCUGUGAAAUCUCCGGGCUUAACUCGGAACGGUCAGAUGAUACUGCUUUGCUAGAGUGCGGAAGGGGCAAUCGGAAUUCUUGGUGUAGCGGUGAAAUGCGUAGAUAUCAAGAGGAACACCUGAGGUGAAGACGGGUUGCUGGGCCGACACUGACGCUGAAGCGCGAAAGCCAGGGGAGCAAACGGG
rnacentral:rRNA from 1 species